AGCAGGAUGGCGCAGUUGGGAGCGCAUUGGGCUGUUAACCCAAAGGUCCGUGGAUCAAAACCACGUCCUGCUA